rnacentral:sRNA from 1 species
UGCUGUGCAAUAUAUGAGUGUGUGCGUU